rnacentral:misc_RNA from 1 species
CGCAGCCGCGGUAAUUCCAGCUCCAAUAGCGUAUAUUAAAGUUGUUGCAGUUAAAAAGCUCGUAGUUGAAUUUCGGGAUUGACGUGAUGGUCGUGCCUUACGGGGUAUGAACUGUUGCUGUUGAUUUCUCACCUUCUGGAGAAACUUGAUGUCCUUAAUUGGGUGUCUUGCGGAUCCAGGACCUUUACCUUGAAAAAUUAGAGUGUUUAAAGCAGGCAUUUUGCUCGAAUACAUUAGCAUGGAAUAAUAGAAUAGGACGGCAUGGUUCUAUUUUGUUGGUUUCUAGGAUCACCGUAAUGAUUAAUAGGGAUAGUUGGGGGCAUUAGUAUUCAAUUGUCAGAGGUGAAAUUCUUGGAUUUAUUGAAGACUAACUACUGCGAAAGCAUUUGCCAAGGAUGUUUUCAUUAAUCAAGAACGAAAGUUAGGGGAUCGAAGACGAUCAGAUACCGUCGUAGUCUUAACCAUAAACUAUGCCGACUAGGAAUCAGACGAUGUUAAUUUUUAAUGACUCGUUU